CUGAGUUUAGUUUUCGGUUUUCGACCAACACUCACCGCCCCAUCGGGGAUCCCAGCAUUUAUUUGAAUACUCGAUUAGUGGGAAAAAGGCAAAUCCGUUAUAUUCAGUCAGCUCACUCCGAUAAUCAAAAGCCUCUGGAUGUUCAAUCGCUACACCAUGCCUUACUGGGAGGAAAUAAAGGGUGUCUUGUGUGCAAGAAAAAGAUGGCAACUUCUCCCAAAACACUUUCUGGAUUCUGCCCUGCCCCAUUUAGAAAUCUUUUGGAAUAUGUUGUUAAUUUGAAGUUUGAUGAGGAGCCUACGUAUGCAAAAAUUUCCAUUUGAUCGUCUGAAAGUUCUAAUCGUGUGACGAGGAGCCUAAUCAUUUAGGUUUCGUCGAAUGCUAAUGGUCACACAUUCUUUGGUACCCACAAAGUUUAUUACCUCCUAAAGUCAUAAUUGCAUUAACUUUAUCUUCAAAAGGGGAAGGUCAAACUGAUUUCUUGACCAAACGUCAACUGGCAUGGGAGACUUCAUUUUGUAGCCUUAAUUUCAUGUUAAAGAAGAACAUUUGUUACUUAUUUUAUGGUUCACGAAGAGAACUCACAUCAUAGUACUUUGGCUGUUUGUUUGAAGCCGUGAAAAUGAAGCCCUUUAAUGGAAGGUAGAUGUCGAGACCAAUGAGGUUUAUGCUCAAAUGACGUUGCCACUACGGAGCUUGGAAGAACAAAAAGAAGCAUUUCUUCCGAUAGAUUUGGAUGCCCCGGGCAAACAACGUACAAAUUAUUUUUGUUAAAUAUUGACUGCAAGUGACGCUAGCACUCACAGUCGAAUUUAGUUCACCGUCACUCAGCUGAGAAAGUGUCUCCUCCACUAUUAAGCUAGAACAUAUCCCAAAGAAAGUAGCAUAAAGUUGGUGCAUUUCUUCCACUCCCCCACUUACACACCUAAUUCUGGGUAUGGGUAUCAACCAUUUCUUAAUAUUAUACAAGACAGUGAUUUGGAGCUUGAGUGUCAAGAGGAUAUUUAGCAUACUUAAGGACCACCCGAUUAGCAUGGAGAAGCUAGAGUUAUUUUCCGGGUCAACACUCAACCCAUUAAAAGAGAAGUCGCAGCUUAUGUUGGGUUAGAGGGGAAGGAAGUUAUGAGCAACAGUUAUCUCUAUUUUCCACUUUACUAUUUAGACUAGACUAUCGUUGUUUUGUUCUUUGUCUUUGAAAAACUUAGUAUUAGUUUCUUGUAUUUGGAUAUUAGCCCAUCUCAAGUAGGCCUAUUAUCAGUCGUUUUAAUUUUAAUCAAGCCUAUUUCAAGUUCUUAUCAGAGUGAGA
rnacentral:lncRNA from 1 species